rnacentral:rRNA from 1 species
GAUGAACGCUGGCGGCGUGCCUAAUACAUGCAAGUCGAGCGAACGGACGAGAAGCUUGCUUCUCUGAUGUUAGCGGCGGACGGGUGAGUAACACGUGGAUAACCUACCUAUAAGACUGGGAUAACUUCGGGAAACCGGAGCUAAUACCGGAUAAUAUUUUGAACCGCAUGGUUCAAAAGUAAAAGACGGUCUUGCUGUCACUUAUAGAUGGAUCCGCGCUGCAUUAGCUAGUUGGUAAGGUAACGGCUUACCAAGGCAACGAUGCAUAGCCGACCUGAGAGGGUGAUCGGCCACACUGGAACUGAGACACGGUCCAGACUCCUACGGGAGGCAGCAGUAGGGAAUCUUCCGCAAUGGGCGAAAGCCUGACGGAGCAACGCCGCGUGAGUGAUGAAGGUCUUCGGAUCGUAAAACUCUGUUAUUAGGGAAGAAUAUAUGUGUAAGUAACUGUGCACAUCUUGACGGUACCUAAUCAGAAAGCCACGGCUAACUACGUGCCCGCAGCCGCGGUAAUACGUAGGUGGCAAGCGUUAUCCGGAAUUAUUGGGCGUAAAGCGCGCGUAGGCGGUUUUUUAAGUCUGAUGUGAAAGCCCACGGCUCAACCGUGGAGGGUCAUUGGAAACUGGAAAACUUGAGUGCAGAAGAGGAAAGUGGAAUUCCAUGUGUAGCGGUGAAAUGCGCAGAGAUAUGGAGGAACACCAGUGGCGAAGGCGACUUUCUGGUCUGUAACUGACGCUGAUGUGCGAAAGCGUGGGGAUCAAACAGGAUUAGAUACCCUGGUAGUCCACGCCGUAAACGAUGAGUGCUAAGUGUUAGGGGGUUUCCGCCCCUUAGUGCUGCAGCUAACGCAUUAAGCACUCCGCCUGGGGAGUACGACCGCAAGGUUGAAACUCAAAGGAAUUGACGGGGACCCGCACAAGCGGUGGAGCAUGUGGUUUAAUUCGAAGCAACGCGAAGAACCUUACCAAAUCUUGACAUCCUUUGACAACUCUAGAGAUAGAGCCUUCCCCUUCGGGGGACAAAGUGACAGGUGGUGCAUGGUUGUCGUCAGCUCGCGUCGUGAGAUGUUGGGUUAAGUCCCGCAACGAGCGCAACCCUUAAGCUUAGUUGCCAUCAUUAAGUUGGGCACUCUAAGUUGACUGCCGGUGACAAACCGGAGGAAGGUGGGGAUGACGUCAAAUCAUCAUGCCCCUUAUGAUUUGGGCUACACACGUGCUACAAUGGACAAUACAAAGGGCAGCGAAACCGCGAGGUCAAGCAAAUCCCAUAAAGUUGUUCUCAGUUCGGAUUGUAGUCUGCAACUCGACUACAUGAAGCUGGAAUCGCUAGUAAUCGUAGAUCAGCAUGCUACGGUGAAUACGUUCCCGGGUCU